CCGAAGCAUGCAAGCUAGCGGAAGGCAGAUCAGUCACUAUCGAUACUGACAGCCGAUAUGCCUUUGGGGUCACUCAUGAUUUUGGAACUCUAUGGAAACGUAGGGGCUUCCUGACGUCAGCGGGAAAACCAAUCACUCAUCAUAACUUGAUUUCUGAUCUUUUAGAGGCAAUCCUUUUACCCACAUCCAUUGCUGUUUGCAAAAGUGAUGCGUAUACAGGAAAACUGAUCCGGUCGCACAAGGUAACGUGAAAGCAGAUGUGGCAGCAAAGGCAGCAGCGCUGAGACCUGUAGACGACAGCAUACAGGCUCAAGUCAAGGAAGUUCUACCACAAUCAGCCAGAGGAAAAUUGCAUGACUUGCAACCAGGAGACUGGAUAGUGGUAAAAGACUUCAGGAGAAAGAGUUGAAAAGCUAAAAGGUGGCUGGGACCGUUCCAAGUGCUCUUCGUAACGCAGGCAGCAGUCAAGGUGGCAGAAAGAGUGACGUGUAUUCACGCUAGUCACUGCAAGAAUUAGUUGUUGCUCUACGACAGGGAAGGAAACUGGGAGAUAAGCCACAGCAGUCCUGCAACAUCGAGUAAACUUGCCAGAACAGGUGAG